AUUGAACGCUGGCGGCAUGCCUUACACAUGCAAGUCGAACGGUAACAGGUCUUCGGAUGCUGACGAGUGGCGAACGGGUGAGUAAUACAUCGGAACGUGCCCGAUCGUGGGGGAUAACGGAGCGAAAGCUUUGCUAAUACCGCAUGCGAUCUACGGAUGAAAGCAGGGGACCGCAAGGCCUUGCGCGGACGGAGCGGCCGAUGGCAGAUUAGGUAGUUGGUGGGAUAAAAGCUUACCAAGCCGACGAUCUGUAGCUGGUCUGAGAGGACGACCAGCCACACUGGGACUGAGACACGGCCCAGACUCCUACGGGAGGCAGCAGUGGGGAAUUUUGGACAAUGGGCGAAAGCCUGAUCCAGCCAUGCCGCGUACAGGAUGAAGGCCUUCGGGCUGUAAACUGCUUUUGUACGGAACGAAAAGACUCCUUCUAAUAAAGGGGGUCCAUGACGGUACCGUAAGAAUAAGCACCGGCUAACUACGUGCCAGCCGCCGCGGUAAUAC
rnacentral:rRNA from 1 species